rnacentral:rRNA from 1 species
GGGCAAGUCUGGUGCCAGCAGCCGCGGUAAUUCCAGCUCCAAUAGCGUAUAUUAAAGUUGUUGUGGUUAAAAAGCUCGUAGUUGAACCUUGGGCCUGGCUGGCCGGUCCGCCUCACCGCGUGUACUGGUCCGGCCGGGCCUUUCCCUCUGUGGAACCCCAUGCCCUUCACUGGGUGUGGCGGGGAAACAGGACUUUUACUUUGAAAAAAUUAGAGUGCUCCAGGCAGGCCUAUGCUCGAAUACAUUAGCAUGGAAUAAUAGAAUAGGACGUGUGGUUCUAUUUUGUUGGUUUCUAGGACCGCCGUAAUGAUUAAUAGGGACAGUCGGGGGCAUCAGUAUUCAAUUGUCAGAGGUGAAAUUCUUGGAUUUAUUGAAGACUAACUACUGCGAAAGCAUUUGCCAAGGAUGUUUUCAUUAAUCAGGAGCGAAAGUUAGGGGAUCGAAGACGAUCAGAUACCGUUGUAGUCUUAACCAUAAACUAUGCCGACUAGGGAUCGGACGAUGUUAUUUUUUGACUCGUUCGGCACCUUACGGGAAAC